GACGAACCGUGCAAACGUUAUUCGGAAUCACUGGGCUUAAAGGGCGCGUAGGCGGCUUGCCAAGUCAGGGGUGAAAUCUUUCGGCUUAACCGGAAAAGUGCCUCUGAUACUGGCAGGCUCGAGGGAGGCAGGGGCAUGUGGAACUUCCGGUGGAGCGGUGAAAUGCGUUGAUAUCGGAAGGAACGCCGGUGGCGAAAGCGACGUGCUGGACCUCUUCUGACGCUGAUGCGCGAAAGCUAGGGGAGCGAACGGG
rnacentral:rRNA from 1 species